CAGAUACAGGUUUGGGAGAUUCAGUCUGUUCAAGCCCCAGCAUAUCCAGCACCACAAGCCCCAAGCUCGAUCCUCCGCCUUCCCCGCAUGCCAAUAGGAAAAAACACAGACGGAAGAAAAGUACCAGCAAUUUCAAAGCAGAUGGACUCUCGGGCACCGCUGAAGUUACAUUCUACAGCAAAGCUUAUCGGAGGCAAGCAGGAAGGACCAGAAAGUUGUGAGGUCAAACUGGGGGUCUGCCAUUCACCUCCCUCACAAGGAGAAUCCUUUCUUUGUUUCGCCUGUUUCAUCUCGAAUGUUGCUAUAGUUCCUGGCCCUGCCUGUAUCCUAGAGAAAUUGUAAAAAUAAAAUGUGGCCACAUCCUUAAA